CUGGGGGCUCAGCAGUGCCCGGCACAGAGCUCCGGGUACGGACAGGGAGCAGAAAAAAAGCAGGCAGAGUCUCUCGAAGCAUCCCCGCUCCCUCUGUCGGCUUUCUGUUCUUUCUACGGCAGCUUUCUAUUGAUGCAAUCUUAUUUUUGGAAGCGUUUUUAGGCAGGCAUUACCGGCCUCAGCAGAACCAAGGAUAGAUUGGAAAGAUAGAGGGGGAAAAAAAAUAAAUAAAUAAGAGGCUAUAAAGGGCAGAAGAUAUUUUUAAGCAGAAAGGGUGGGGUGAUCUGCAGCACGGGUAUGGGAUGGGGAGAAGCUGCUGUUGGUGCAUCGCAUUUGGCAGCAGGUAGGAUGGGGUUUGCAAGCAUCCAUGCAUUGCAGGCAGCAGAGCUGGGGGGUCUGGGGGGCCACAGUGCUGCUCCUGCAAAACCCGAGCAGCUGCACGUAAAGCAGAAUUGUCAGGAAUGUGAGUGCCAAAGACUGAAAAAAAAAAGAAAGGGGAAAAAAAGCCCACUCUGAGAAUGAAGAUGCUCGGAGAGAGACAGCAAAGAGCGUGAGGUCAGAGAGAGCAGCUUAUGCAAAGGCUUGAAAGAAGCAAGGGAGCGUAGCAAGAGUGGGAGCCCAGCCUUCAGCCGCCUGACAGCUGCCCUACACCCUGAGGUUAUUUGGCCACAGCGGCGAUGUGAGCUCAGCUCCUCCAGGACACGGCUCAGUGCUCUGCCUCCUCCCGGAGCCGCUCUGCCUUCAGCAGUCCUGGCAGAGUGCUGAACACGCUGUGGGUCCAGGUGAGCUCUCUCCCAGUGGGAGCAUCCAAUGAAGGCUGCAGCAAAGAGUGAGUGGAAGAGCAGAGCCAGGAGCUGCACGGGCGCAGCAGGAGCCCACUGCUGGAUUUUCCUGGGAGGAGACCCUGCUGCUGCCUUGCUCCAUCCCACUGGCUUCGAAGCCAUCACUCGCUGCUGCAAGGCACGGGCAGGUUCACCCCACUGCUGGGUGCUGCUUCCCAUGGGAUGUUUGGGAAGACCUGAAUGGUGCUGAGAUCCACGUGUGGAUCUGCAACUGUUCUCCACCUCCGGGCUCCGACCUCGCAGCCGUAUGAGCGAUCCUUUGGGUGCUUUCCAGCUCUAAACCGAAGCAUCUCUGCAGCAAAGCCCUGAUUAUUCCAGGCUGCAAAGCAGGUCUGCAGCAAUUAGAGAUGGAACAAAACCCUUCCAGCUCCGGAGCCACGCAGGGGAAAAACAAAUCUGCGUGGGAUGGAUUUGAGCUUAAACACAGACUGCCCCGGCCCCGAGCAAUGAGGGUGGCAGGGAUGUGCCCGGGGUGGGGAGGGGGCUGCCAUCCCCACUGCCUUCCCACGACCCUCCUGGCGCCCGCCCCGCUCACAAAACCAGAACUCCUUAUUCCUGAGAACUUAAUCUGGUGGUUUUGUUCAGCAAAACUCCAGCAGCCGUCAGCUGGGAGCGGGGGCUGCGCCGGGCAGCACGGGAAAGUCUCGUUUUGCAUCUAAUGAAAAUUGCAUCCUUUGUUGUUCUUCUUUCUUUAGAUAUAUAUAUAUAUAUAUAUAUAUUUUUUCCCUCUCGACUACAAAAAGGGGACGUUUCCAACGCUCAGCAGCUGGAGAUAAAAAAAAGGGAUAAAAUAUUUAUUCUCAAAUGAGCCGGUAAUAAACGAACCUGGGAGCUCGAGUCUGAGCUGGGUUUACGUUCGCUUUGUCUUUCAGACGGGAAAAAAUGAGUCAGCCUGCAGUGAAUGCGCCGUGCUGCUUUUUCCUCCUCUCGAGGCAAUGAGAGCCUCGUUAGCCACCUUGCAGGCCAAGCCCGGGUCUCAGCUGUGUUUUGCCCCUGAGCAGAGGACUUUCCCAUCUCUUUGGAGCAGCCCCAUCCCUCGGUGGGCACGGAGCCGGACUUCCAUUUGCCUGGGAAUGCAAAUCUCCCUCAUCUGUCCCACGCUGCCUUUGAAACAGGAGAAAGUCAGCCCUGCCAGGUCCUGGGGAGGCUUUUUCCUGCUCGUGGUGAUUUUGUCUUCAGCUGUGUUUGGAAGGAAACCAGCACGGCCACUUUCUCCCGGCCUCUGUAAAUCAUUCCUUCUCCCCCCCCCCAAUCCUUUCCCCUUUCAUACUAAAAUAAAGGAAAUAAUUAAAAGAGCAGGAAAAUGAGCUGCUGGCAGGUUUCCUACAGACCAUCUCAGUGCUGCGGUGCUGUUGCUCGGCCAUAGGGCAGCCUCUCCAUAGCAGGGCACUGCUGGCAGCCCGCUGUCCUCGUGCAAAGCAGAGCGCUGAGGUUUGCCCUGGUGACUCCUUGGCAGCAUCUGCAAAGGGCACUGCAUCAGUGGUGCAGCAGCAAACUGCAUUUCACAGCAAUGCUUCGAGGGAAACCGGGGAGGUGUCCCCCAUCUAUCCCCAGGGUCUCUUUGCUGAGGGUCGCUAUGGGGUUUGCUGGGUCCUCCUUUGCAUCCUUACUCUUAGGUUCUGGAUCUGGGUUUUCUCAGCAUAUUUUGGGCAACGUUUCAUAUCCCUCAUGCACUUACAGAGAUGAUUCAACAGCAGCAAUAGGAGCUGCACACGCAUGGAGGAGACCAUUGCCUUGCUGAGGUAUCAACCCUCACGCUGUCUCCAUCAUUAAUUCUCUACCUGAAUGCACCCACCUGGGGCUGUUUCCCUCUCCCUGCUUGCAGGGCCACAUCCAUUAAAACCCAGACCUCUCCUCCCCUCCCCAUGCUUUGCUUCCAGCUGUGGCCCAGCAGGGUCACCUGGGGGAUAUUUAGGUGUGAGGAGGGGCAGAUCUCCUCUUCUCCCCACCCCACCCUGUGCAUGGUGAGGAGGUCUUCCCCAUGUCAAGGGGGUGAGGUGGGUCGUGCUGGGUGCCUUGGAGGUGUUUUCUCUCUUUGCUUAUCAUGGCAACGCUGUCCGUCCUACCCAGGUGAGUGAGGGAGGGCUGUCUGUUGGCUGCAUGACACUGGGGUGGCUUUGUGGCUGCAGGGGGUGGUCUUGGCUCUGUCACCACCCGGAUGUCCUCAUCUCACAACUCCCUGUGCCAGGGCAUCUGCACCCUUCCCCUGUGCUCCCUGUCUAUGUGGGGCUGUCUGAGUCACCUCUCUCCUUGUUCUGUUCCGCCUUGCAAAGCACUGGGCACAUUGCUUCUGCACUUUGGGGCCAGGCUUAUCGCAUCCCAACCCCAGUGCUGCUUUCUGCUGGAGCUUCAAGAUGUAUAUCAGCAUCAACAAUCACAGAGGUUCAGGCCAUGCACAGUUCCCUGAUCCUGGCCGAUGGGACAGCACAGCCCCUUGUGAUGCAAUGCCUGCUUCCCAUUAUGGGGGAAUGCAGCCCAUAUGGUGGGCAGAUUUCUGCCUGGAGGUGGGGGGGGGGGGAGCUGAGCUCUGCUGCUGCAGGCACUGCUGGCAGCUCAGGGUGCUCUGGUGAGGUCAGGACCUGAGUGCCCCAAAUCCCCCCUUUCCCUGCACCAGCUGCCCCCAUGAUAGCCUUGGGGUGACCUGCAGGAAUGCUUGCUGUCUUCUUUGUGGAGGCAGACAGAUGCUUGGGGAAGAAAUAGAGGUGAGAUUAGCACUUCUCAGCUGCAGCUGAGUGCUGUGAGCUGUUGUUUCACGUGCAAAGUCCUGCUGCAAUUCUGGAAGCUCCAUUCCCAUCACUGUUCCUACACAAAAGGAGGGUUGCGGCUCCCUGCUCAUGCAUGGGGUGAGAGCAUAUUGAUACACUGGGGGGGGAGGGGGUUUAGCUUUAUCUUUUUCUCGGUGACUGGUGAGGUUUGAGGAUAGGGCUGUGCCCAGGAGGUGGUGUCCCUCCCAUGGAUGGGAUGGAAUGGAGGCAUCUGCUAGGACAUGGGGACUGAAAGGGGUGAUGGCCCCAUGCCAUGGCUUGUGGGGGUUCAGGGCUUAUCUGAGACCCUGUGCCAGGGAUGAGAUGGCUCAGCCAAGUGAUGGCAAGUGACUGGAGAGGCAGUUUGGGUCCAGUCCUGUCCCCAUGCUGACGGCUGCCCUCCUUUGUCCCCUGUAGAGCUCACUACAGCAGAGGUGAGGUUAAGCCUGGGGUUGACCUCUUCCUCUCCAGACACCCAUAAACGAGGGGAAGGAAACUUCCCAGCACCCUUCCCAAAGCCUUGCUCAGCAGCCCAUGCAAACAUCAGACUCCUUUCCAGAUCUUAUUAUUCCUUUUCCUUUUCUUUUCCCCUCCUGAAAUACCAUAAAUCAGACUGUUCUCCCUAAGGACCAUCUACUGCAGCUGACCCUGCACGUGAAGACCACCUAGCAAAGCUUCUUCUCUGAAGCACUGCUUCAGCCAUAGAUAUGGGGACAGUGUAGGAGAGAAGGAUACACAUGGACCCCCUCCCCCCCCCCCACACCACCAAUUCUGCCUAUGGGUCCAACUUUUCCUGGGAGCUGCAGGCAGACACCCUCCAGCUUUGCUUUCAGCCUGGCUCUGCUCCUCUUCCCUGCUCGAGCUUUUUUCCCAGGGGAGGAUGGAGAUUAAGAGGAAGCAGAUUAAACCUAAUGGAUUGAUUGCAAUUAUUUCCCCUUGUUUAUUUGCAGUACCAUGUGGGAGCCUGAA
ensembl:lncRNA